rnacentral:rRNA from 1 species
ACCGGCAGCUCUAGUGGUAGCAGUUUUUAUUGGGCCUAAAGCGUCCGUAGCCGGUUUAAUUAGUCUUUGGUGAAAUCUUGUGGCUUAACUGUGGGAAUUGCUGGAGAUACUAUUAGGCUUGAGAUCGGGAGAGGUUAGAGGUACUCCCAGGGUAGAGGUGAAAUUCUGUAAUCCUGGGAGGACCGCCUGUGGCGAAGGCGUCUGACUGGAACGAUUCUGACGGUGAGGGACGAAAGCUAGGGGCGCGAACCG